rnacentral:rRNA from 1 species
AUGGAGGCUGCGGCGGCGAGCGCUCUGACCAAGGAGGUGGUGCUGAAGCUGGUGGCGCUGCUGAGCGAGAAGCACAAGCUGUCCAAGGGGCUCAAGGACGACCUCCGCUUCAUCCGCACCGAGCUCGACAUGAUCUCCACCGCCAGGGACAGCCACCACAUCAUCUCCUCGCGGCGGCCGCAGGCCGUCGUGUCCAUGGAUGAGAUGCGCGACCUCGCGCACGACAUCGAAGAUUGCAUCGACCGGUUCCUCCCCUGCGUCGCAUGCGAGGGGGAGGCGGCGGCGGCGUCCUCAGUCCUCCGCCGCGUGAAGACGGCGGUCACCAGCACCACCAGAUCCCCCCGGUUCGCGGCGGAGAUCCGGAAGCUCAGGGUCAGGCUCAGGGACGCGCACGAGCGGAGGGCCAACUACGACGUCCAGGCCGGCGGCGGGCCCUCCUCUGCCGCCGCUGCCGCCGGAGUGGCCUCUCCUCCCACGGCCACCGCCGACGGCGACCUCGUGGGCAUCGACAAGCCGAGGCAGGAGCUCGUGGAGCUCUUGCUGGAGAGCGAGCCGGGGAGGUCGGGCGUGAUCUCCAUCGUGGGAUUCGGCGGCUCCGGGAAGACCACGCUGGCGAGGGCGGUGUUCGACUGCGGCGCCGUCGUCCAGAGGUUCCCCUGCCGCGCCUGGGCCGCCGCGUCGGAGCACAGGGACGCCGAGGGGCUCCUCACGGCCAUACUCCGACAGUUCCACGCCGACCAAAACUCCAUCGAUGGCUUCCUGCGGACCACAGAGUGUUUGAUCGUAAUCGAUGACAUCAACAAGCAACACUGGGACGCCAUAAAAUCCAUCUUCCACAGGGAAACAAAAAGCAGAGUCAUUGUAACAACAUCUCUUCAGUCAGUAGCUAAUGCUUGCAGCUCAGGUGGUGGCUAUGUUUACAAGAUGAGCAUUCUCGAUGCCGAACUCUCCAAGGUUCUGCUAAUGAAGAAAGUCUUCUUCCAAGGAUGUUCACCUGAAUUGGAGCGGGGCUCGACAGCGAUAGUUGAGAAAUGUGACGGCCUUCCACUCGCUCUUGUUAGUGUGGCCAAGUUUUUGCUAGGCGAGAACGAGCUCACGGGGAGCCACUGUGCGCAAGUUUGCCGCAACCUCGGGCUUCAUAUGGAAAAGGAUGCAGACUUUACAAAACUGCAACAGGUUCUUGUGAAUAACUACACAAGCCUGUCUGGCUAUCCUCUCAGGACCUCCUUGCUGUACACAAGUCUGUUCCCAAAUGGUUGUCCAAUCAGGAGGAACACUUUGAUCAGGCGAUGGUUGGCAGAAGGGUAUGUGCAAUGUCAGUAUAAACGCAGUGACCUGGAGGUAGCAGAUGAGAACUUCCGGGAACUUGUUGACCGGAAUAUCAUCCGACCGAUCGAUGCUGGCAACAACACGAAAGUGAAGACGUGCAAAACUCAUGGUAUCAUGCACGAGUUCAUGCUGCACAAGUCCAUGUCUGAUAACUUCGUCACGUCUCUCCGCGAUCAAAAUCGAAGUAAGUUCCGUCACCUGUUCAUCCAAAACCCUGCAAGUGGCAGCACCGUGGGCCUGAACCACCAGCAUACAAGUCCAGCAAGUGACAGUGUAUCUGGAGGUGAAAAAUUCCGUGCACGGUCUCUGACAAUCUUUGGGAAUGUGGAAGAAGCUGCCUCAGACUUUUGUAGGUGUGAGCUGCUGCGGGUGUUGGAUCUGCAAGAAUGCAACGAUUUGGAGGAUGAUCAUCUCAAGGACAUACAUAAGCUGUGGCAUCUGAAAUAUCUCAGCCUUGGGGCCACUGUCAGCAACCUUCCAAGGAAUAUUGACAAGUUACACUGCUUAGAGACACUUGACCUGAGGAAGACCAAGAUAGAGAUAUUGCCAUCGGAAGUCAUUGGGUUGCCUCACCUAGCUCACCUGCUUGGAAAGUUUAAGCUUGGGAAAAGGACCUGA